rfam:Musca domestica strain aabys unplaced genomic scaffold Scaffold20170, whole genome shotgun sequence.
UGCAAGGGCACUCUGUGUCACAUUGAAAUUUAACCACAAAGUGAAACAAUUUGUUACCUUGCUAUAGUAAACUUGAUAUUUUAAAUUCAUCAAACCAUUUUCAAAUUUUCAAAAUGUGUUUGUAAUUAGAAUAUCUACAGUUAG